AAUGAUCUAGUGUGACGCAUUGUACAUAACCAAAAACCGAAGCCAGAGAGGCGAAAUGACCAGCUCAAAACCAAACACGAGCCUCAUUGUCCACGCUAGAGCAGAGGGCUCCUGACUCCAGGGGCUUCCCAGGUCAUACACAUGGACUCCUGCAUUAUCCUGCGACGGUGAAUCUUACAAAGAGCAGAAUUUAGAAAGCAGUGUGCUCCAAUUUAAAAAAGAAAAGCUGUGCGGAGUGCAUCCAGGGAAACA
rnacentral:lncRNA from 1 species